UACAGAGGGGGCAAGCGUUGUUCGGAAUUACUGGGCGUAAAGGGCGCGUAGGCGGCCUUCUAAGUUCGAACGUGAAAUCCCUGGCUCAACCCAGGAACUGCGUCCGAUACUGGAAGGCUUGAAUCCGGGAGAGGGAUGCGGAAUUCCAGGUGUAGCGGUGAAAUGCGUAGAUAUCUGGAGGAACACCGGUGGCGAAGGCGGCAUCCUGGACCGGUAUUGACGCUGAUGCGCGAAAGCCAGGGGAGCAAACGGG
rnacentral:rRNA from 1 species